rnacentral:antisense_RNA from 1 species
GGUGUGCUCGGCAGUCACAGACCCACUCAGGACACCUCCCGUUGCCGACGGGCUAGACCUGCCUUAAAGGGGUCCCCGUGUCUCUCCAGUCUAGAGCCUAAGUUCAAACGAGGCGUAUAGGCGAGGACAGCAGGAAGGCUCCAAGUCAAACAAAUGGAUGGGAAGUGGUCUUGGGAAACCUGAAGACACUGGGAUAUUCAGAAGGCCAAGGGGAUCCAGCUUAUCCUGUUGGGCAAGGUGCUGGGAGUGAAGGCAGAGAUUCCACUGAUGAUUUCCAGGAACUACCAAAGCCACGGAUCAGCUGAGUUACCCGGGCUAAUAGCAGGAGGAAACAGUGUCAGAGAGGGAUCUGGCUGAUCUUCAACUCCACUAAGUUCUCCCCAAGGGUCUUGCUCUGUCACCCACGCUGGAGUGCAGUGGCACAAUCACAGCUCACUACAACCUCAACUUUCCUGGCUCAGUGAUUAUCCCACCUCAGCCUCCUGAGUAGCUGGGACUAACAGGCAUGUGCCAACAUGUCCCACUCAUUUUUUUUUUAUUUUUUGUAGAGAUGGGGUUUCACCAUGUUGUCCAGGCUAGUCUCAAACUCCUGGGCUCGAGCGAUCCUCCCUGCCUUGGCCUGUGCUGGGAUUACAGGUGUGAGCCACCGUGCUGGCCUCAGUACUAUUUUUUAUUGA